CAUCCAAUUUUUCUGCUGUCCUUUCGUGAAGCUGAACUCAGCUUCACAAAAUGUGAUAGGCUUCGGGGUGGGGAAUAUAAAGGAGAUUAUGGCAGGACGAAAAAAUAAUAAACACAUUCUUGCGUUGUUAGAGGAAGGAAUGAGUGGACUGUUACAUUUAAAAUGACUGAACCAAAAUACCUCAUUAUUAGAAUGACCUCACUGAGCAAACCACCUGCUGUGUGUGAAUGAACGCGUACACUACAGUACAGGAAACAAUGAGGAGCCGUUGCUUUCCCCUUAACUGCCCACGCUCUCAAUAAUUGGACACACAUUGCUUGUGGGAGCCACAAUAUGGGGGGUCUGAUGAGCAACACACACACACAACACACACACACACACACACACACACACACACACACACACACACACACACACACACACUACCACACACA